GAUGAAGAACGCAGCGAAAUGCGAUACGUAAUGUGAAUUGCAGAAUUCAGUGAAUCAUCGAAUCUUUGAACGCACAUUGCGCCCGCCAGUAUUCUGGCGGGCAUGCCUGUUCGAGCGUCAUUUCAACCAUCAAGCCCCCGGCUUGUGUUGGGGACCUGCGGCUGCCGCAGGCCCUGAAAACCAGUGGCGGGCUCGCUAGUCACUCCGAGCGUAGUAGUUACAUCUCGCUCAGGGCGUGCUGCGGGUUCCGGCCGUUAAAAGCCUUAUUUACCCAAGGUUGACCUCGGAUCAGGUAGGAAGACCCGCUGAACUUAAGCAUAUCAAUAAGCGGAGGA
rnacentral:misc_RNA from 1 species